rnacentral:snRNA from 1 species
GGAUGUGAGGGUGAUGUGGCUGUGACAUCUGUCACCCUCCUGGUCACCAGGGUUGAUUCAGCUGGUCUAGCUGGCUAGGCGGGUGUCCCCUUCCUCCCUCACUGCUCCCUGUGUGUCCCUCCUGAAGCUGUGUGCUUGGUUUCAGAGGACGACCUCUCCCCGAAUCAAGGAGGACCGGUCUUCCGUCAAAGGUAUGCUACUAGCUGCGCUUCCCUCCUAGAAUGUCCAAACAAGCUCUCCAGAAAUGGUGUCUUCAGAAUAAAGAUAAUCAUGUAAAUAAUAAAAAGAAUAUAGGGACCAUACAAACAAUUAGAAUGCAUGAAUUC